CGCGCGUUUCGUCUACAAAAGACUUAUCAAGGACGCUCGAAUCAUAUUAAGUUUAAAAAAAGCCAAUAAAGUCAAAUUAAAUUAAAAAGGCAAAAAAAAAAAAUAAUUGAGAAACGUUAACAUUCAACUUAUCGUUCUGGUUUGGUAAAAGCUGAACACAUUCAUCAUAUUUAUUAUAAACGUAUACCAUAAACAUUAUUUCCAGCUUUCAUAUUUAUGUAAAAAAGUUGCCGCUGUACAUUAUGCC
rnacentral:lncRNA from 1 species